rnacentral:sRNA from 1 species
AUAUCUCUCCGUACGGGAAGGAUGAGAAGCUUCGACUAAGGUUCGAUUCGAGCGAAAGCGAGAGAACGUUGCCAACGGCAACGGCCUGAAGGGCGAAGCGCGCAGCGCUGAGUCAUCCUUCCCCCACCACCA